GGCGCGAGCAUCAUAACGGGAAGGAGAAAGAGGAAAAGACGGAAAGCAACAGGUUGAUGAGCAGUCUCCCUAGAAACAGCGGGAGUGCGCACGAGGAACAGAUGUCCUAUGGUUUCGUAUUCGCUCUCUGGCACACCCAAGACAGCUGGACAAACCACACCGCCCCCACCCCAAAAAAAAAAGAAAUCAAGUUGACACAGGCAUCGUACGCUCGUUAUUUCAAGGACACAGGGUGAGAUGUGACCCGGACAACUUUUAGUGAGAUUCACCAAAAAGGAUUCAAACUGGCACUCCAAUUUUUUGCGCUCGGAUAAAACCUUGGUCUCCCUAUCAAAAACUAAACAACAGAAUGGAUAACAG